rnacentral:rRNA from 1 species
GCUAACUUCGUGCCAGCAGCCGCGGUAAUACGAAGGGACCUAGCGUAGUUCGGGAAUUACUGGGCGUAAAGCGCGCGUAGGCCGUUGAGUUAGUUAAUUGUGAAAUCCCAAAGCUUAACUUUGGAACUGCAAUUAAAACUGCUCGACUAGAGUUUGAUAGAGGAAAGCGGAAUACAUAGUGUAGAGGUGAAAUUCGUAGAUAUUAUGUAGAACACCAGUUGCGAAGGCGGCUUUCUGGAUCAACACUGACGCUGAGGCGCGAAAGUAUGGGUAGCAAAGAGGAUUAGAUACCCUCGUAGUCCAUACCAUAAACGAUGAUUGCUAGAUGUUGGAAAUUUAUUUUCAGUAUCGCAGCUAACGCAUUAAGCAAUCCGCCUGGGGAGUACGACCGCAAGGUUAAAACUCAAAUGAAUUGACGGGGACCCGCACAAGCGGUGGAGCAUGUGGUUUAAUUCGAAGAUACGCGCAGAACCUUACCAACCCUUGACAUGUCUGUCGCGAGUUUAGGAAACUAGACUUUUCGGUUCGGCCGGACAGAACACAGGUGCUGCAUGGCUGUCGUCAGCUCGUGUCGUGAGAUGUUGGGUUAAGUCCCGCAGCGAGCGCAACCCCUACUUUUAGUUGCCAUCAGGUCAUGCUGGGCACUCUGAAAGAACUGCCAGUGAUAAGCUGGAGGAAGGUGGGGAUGACGUCAAGUCCUCAUGGCCCUUACGGGUUGGGCUACACACGUGCUACAAUGGUAGUGACAAUGAGAUGCAAAGUGGCGACGCUAAGCUAAACUCAAAAAUCUACCUCAGUUCGGAUUGCACUCUGCAACUCGAGUGCAUGAAGCUGGAAUCGCUAGUAAUCGUAGAUCAGCGUGCUACGGUGAAUACGUUCCCGGGUCUUGUACACACCGCCCGUCACACCAUGGAAGUUGGGUUCUACCUUAAAGCAGAUUGCUAACCGCAAGGAGGCGUUUGACCAAGGUAUAGUCAGCAACUGGGGUGAAGUCGUAACAAGGUA